rnacentral:rRNA from 1 species
UACGUAGGGUCCGAGCGUUGUCCGGAAUUACUGGGCGUAAAGAGCUCGUAGGUGGUUUGUCGCGUUGUUCGUGAAAACUCACAGCUCAACUGUGGGCGUGCGGGCGAUACGGGCAGACUGGAGUACUGCAGGGGAGACUGGAAUUCCUGGUGUAGCGGUGAAAUGCGUAGAUAUCAAGAGGAACACCUGCGGCGAAGGCGGGUUGCUGGGCCGACACUGACGCUGAGGCGCGAAAGCCAGGGGAGCGAACGGG